rnacentral:lncRNA from 1 species
CACUGAGUCACGUGUCACAUCCUGCCCCUCUCCUAUAGGAGGCAGUGUGGGCGGGGGAGGGCGUGUCUGUGGCAGUCACGCCCCUCCUCCCGGUCAAGUUCAGAUAUUUGUGUUGAAAGUUUUUCCUGGGCGUGCGUCCUCACCUCAGGGAGUCGCAGCGCUCGCUGUGAACAUAAAGGGCAUCACCGGAGCAGGUCUGCAGAGCGGCGUGGUUCAUGGGCAACCAAGGUGCCUCGAAAAGAUGAAGUUGUGUCGCCUGGAACUGAGCCCUGACCCCUACUCGGCUUGGAAUGAGCAUGGAAGUGGCAGAGUUCUUAUCCCAGAUCAGCUCCCAGCUUUCCAGCCCUCACCCCAUCACGAAAGGUUUGCUGAAUUAUGCGGCUGCAACCACAAUCAGUGGAACAUCUCUCACCCCAGUAAAGAGUUGACCCAUUACCUGUCAUUCACCUGGAGGUUCUGGGGCCAGGCGUGCCUGAGUCUGCUUCUGUAACUACACCAGAGGUGGCUUCACACCCCGGGAGCUGAGUGGACAGGAUGAACCUCACGAGUUUUCCGGGUGUGAUAGCACACACCUUUAGUCCCAAGACUCUAGAGGCAGAGGCAAGUGGAUAUCUGAGAGUUUGAGGCAGCUUGGUCUAGAGAGUGAGUUCAAGGAUAGCCAGGGUUACACAGAGAAACCCUGUCUCAAAAAAAAAAAAAAAGUUUCUCACUACAAUAACAGACUACGGAAAAGGGUACAGGUUUUGCCCUUGGCAGAGGGAACAAGCUACGCAGAGACAGCCUGUAAGAGGCUGGAGAACUUGCAAGCUUGAGAUGCAGAGAGGAAGGUCCUGUGUGGAGAUAACACAGCAAACCCACAUGACCCCAUUAUAUUUAUAGCUACUUCUUAUUGAAUUUUUUACUUAUUUUAUGUGUGUGUGCAUGUAUAUAUGUGUGUGAGAUUUUCUGUGUAUGUGUGCAUGUGUAUAUGUGUGUGAUUGUGUGUGUAUGUGUGUGUUUGUGUGCGCAUGAAGGUAGCAGUCAGAUAACAGUGUUCUGCAGUUGGUUCUGUCCUAUCCCCAUGGGUCCCAAAGGCUAAACUCAACCUCAGGCUUAGAAAUGCUCCACUGAGCCAUCUUCAUGGCCCUGACAGUUCUUGCUAAUAUUUUUCAAUGCUGUUAGAUGUUGUAUCAAGUUUCAGACCCAUCUCAGCUUUCCUGAAAGUGAUUCGGGGGCUGGUGAGAUGGCUCAGUGGGUAAGAGCACCCGACUGCUCUUCCGAAGGUCAGGAGUUCAAAUCCCAGCAACCACAUGGUGGCUCACAACCAUCUGUAACGAGAUCUGACUCCCUCUUCUGGAGUGUCUGAAGACAGCUACAGUGUACUUACAUAUAAUAAAUAAAUAAAUCUUUAAAAAAAAAAAAAAGAA